rnacentral:tRNA from 2 species
GCACACGUAGCUUAAAUUAAAGCAUAACACUGAAGAUGUUAAGAUGAGCCCUAAGAAGCUUCGUGGGCA